AGGCCCUGGUCAGCUUGUAAUUCAUUCCUGGCUGACACAUUUCAGUUUUUAAUUAGUUUAGUACUAAUGUGGGCCUAGCUUUUUGAUUCUUUUCCUGUAAAACAGAAAUGUUUCAAAAGACGAUGUUCUUCAUUUGGCAGUUGGAGAAAUGGAAGAGGUGGGAUUCUCCAGGCACAUGUGGACGGCUGGAGCCGAUGCGCAUACUACUGGGCUCCUUCUCAGGGUCUCUUCCAGACUCUUGUGCUCCUGAACAGAGGAUUGGACAGGAAAUGAAGUGGCAGAGUUUACAUUUAUUCGAGGUAUUAAAGGUGUUUGGGGAUCAUCUGUUUGCGUUGUGAUAGCCUCAGCGUUGUAAGCGGAGGGAGAGCUGAGAGAGCUGCGUGUUGGUGGGAACCUGCUAUCCCUUUGGCACUCUGCUCUGGGGGAUCUCAGGGUCUUGCAUCACUUCCAUUUCCACAAUCUUUCCAUCACAGUUCCUAAUACGGUACCACAAUGUGGUAACUGCACCAAACCACUGGAAAGAUGCCACUGACAGAGACUGUACUUAGAAGAACAAUAGCUUUUCUCAGGGCCCCUCACCCUCCCUCACUGUGUGACUGCCUCAUGUCCUCUGCCUCUUGCACAAGAGUCUUUCCAUGACUACAGUGUCCUCCUCUACCACUCUUUUCUUAAGAACAGAGCUGUCAUGGACGCUUCCAGGAACCAUUCUUCUUGAGCCCUUGUCUUAAACAUGGUUUCAUGAUGCAGAAAUAAAGGCAC